CCUAGAGUAUGCGGGCUUUGCCUGCCAUCUCUUACCCAUGUCUUUUGAGUACCUUCGUUUCCUCGGCGGGUCCGCCUGCCGACUGGACAAUUUAAACCAUUUGCAGUUGCAAUCAGCGUCUGAAAAAACUUAAUAGUUG
rnacentral:misc_RNA from 1 species